rnacentral:rRNA from 1 species
GAUGAACGCUGGCGGCGUGCCUAAUACAUGCAAGUCGAGCGAACAGACGAGGAGCUUGCUCCUCUGACGUUAGCGGCGGACGGGUGAGUAACACGUGGAUAACCUACCUAUUUGACUGGGAUAACUUCGGGAAACCGGAGCUAAUACCGGCUCAUAUAUUGAACCGCAUGGUUCAAUAGUGAAAGACGGUUUUGCUGUCUCUUAUAGAUGGAUCCGCGCCGCAUUAGCUAGUUGGUAAGGUAACGGCUUACCAAGGCAACGAUGCGUAGCCGACCUGAGAGGGUGAUCGGCCACACUGGAACUGAGACACGGUCCAGACUCCUACGGGAGGCAGCAGUAGGGAAUCUUCCGCAAUGGGCGAAAGCCUGACGGAGCAACGCCGCGUGAGUGAUGAAGGUCUUCGGAUCGUAAAACUCUGUUAUUAGGGAAGAACAAAUGUGUAAGUAACUAUGCACGUCUUGACGGUACCUAAUCAGAAAGCCACGGCUAACUACGUG